CACUGACCAUUUUUAUAUCUAGCCUUGCAAUCUUACUUUAAUAUAAUCUGACUCUACAAAUCCAUUUCCACAAAUGGUCUUUGAAUCAGCUUUUUCAUCUUAUAAACGUCCUCAAAAAUUAAUGAGGUGAAUAAGCUUUUGGCUCCUGUGCAUGCCAUAUUUGUAGAAAGAUAUGAGAGUCGUGUUUAACUUGGAAACUUAUACUUGGGAAAGUCUGACAAGAAUGGGAGUUUUUGCCAGGUUAUGGAGAGAUAUGUACCCUCUUUGAGUACUGAUUUGGAGCAGCUCCUUUGGAAAGGGCUCUUUGGAAGGCAGUUUGGCAAUUGUUAAAACUGAAGACAGUGCAGUGCUGAUGAUCCAACAGGUCCUCUUUUAGAGUCAAUCCAGAGAAACAUUCCCACAUGAGCACUAAGGGAAAUGUGCCGUGGUUGCCGCGGUGAGAACGUGGAAUGACCUUCCACCACAUACAGUGGUAGGUGCGUGUGGAGAACACUAUGCAGCCGCAGAAAAUGCGUCGGUCCUAAAGGGCCUGGCACGUGAUAAAUGCUGAGCACCCGCUGAAUGAAUAAAGUGAGCAAGGGGAAGGAAUGCCUGAGCCAUCCCUGUCCUUCCCACCAAAGCGAUCCAUCGCCAACCCCCAAAAGAGACAUUUGGAGAGUUCUCCAUUGUUAUCACUCUAAUCUUAUCACCAAACCCAGAUCUUCCAGGAGAUCCAAAUCCCAGGCACCAACCCGUCUAGAAAGGAUUCAUAGAGAUCGUCUCUCAGGAACAGGAUGGCAGAGUUUAUCUUCCUUUGUGCACUUUCCAUAUUUUCUGAAGUCAAUGCAGAAAGCGAGGGCUGCUGCAGUGAUUCAAAGGACAUGGAAGCAUCCGUCUAAGCAGAUUCUCCCUCGGCCGCUUCUCCGCUGUCACUGCAGACGCCAGGCUGGCCGGGCUGUAGUCAACCAGCGUGUCCAGGGUCUCAGUUCCUGACUCUAAAGGAAGGCAGGGCUGCAAGUGACCGAGGCUCGCGCGGGCAUGAAUUCUCUCUAAAUCUGUCAUCUUCUCCAUGAGUUCCUUCUCAUCCCCAUCACUCCUGAGGAAUCCUGACCCUAUUCCUGUCGACCUCAUCUCUGUGGGUUCUUGCCAUCCUGAAUACCAUUCCAGGAGGCCCCUUUUCAGAGGAUGGAAUUUGUUACCUAAGGCCUGAGUAACAGACCGCUGAAGCUGAAACUCCAAUACUUUGGCCACCUGAUGCGAAGAACUGACUCAUUUGAAAAGACCCUGAUGCUGGGAAAGAUUGGAGGUGGGAAGAGAAGGGGCGGCAGCGGAUGAAAUGGUCCGAUGCCAUCACUGACUCAGUGGACACGAAUCUGAGCAAACUCCGGGAGAUGGUGCAGGACAGGGAACCGUGGCGUGCUGCAGUCCCUGGGGUCGCACAGAGCUGGACACCUCUCAGAGAUGGAACGACAGCAGUGGCGGACUUCUCUGCUGCAGCUGAGGUGCGUGCUUAAGCUCAAGUCACCGUUUUUUUUAACAUGACACCGAGAAAAAUGAAAGGAAAACCUGACUGUUUAAGACUGUUAGCCUUCGUCACAGCACUGAAUAACCCCAGUGGGAAGGGCUGCUGGAGUUUCAUACUCUUCCGUUGCUCCCAUUCAGUAAAUAAUGAUCAUUUGACAGUAAAAUGCUUGUUGGUUGUAAAGUUAUUCAUGCUCCGGGGCAGAGGUGCUGUUCUGAAUGUACCUGCAUGAGCUGCAUCCCACAACACGGACUCUGGGUUGGUACCCAGGCAACAUUUCAUCCCACAACACGGACUCUGGGUUGGUACCCAGGCAACAUUUCAUCCCACAACACAGACUCUGGGUUGGUACCCAGGCAGCAUGUCAUCCCAUGAGCGAAUGAAAAGGAGAAGGAGGUCCUCCAGGCUUGUGCAAGAAA
ensembl:lncRNA